rnacentral:misc_RNA from 1 species
AACGCACAUUGCGCCCCUUGGUAUUCCGAGGGGCAUGCCUGUUCGAGCGUCAUUUCAACCCUCAAGCACAGCUUGGUCUUGGGCCGCGCCGCUAACCCGGCGGGUCUUAAAAUCAGUGGCGGUGCCGUCGGGCCCUGAGCGUAGUACAUCUCCUCGCUAUAGGGUCCCGGCGGAUGCUGGCCAGCAACCCCCAAUCUUCUAUGGUUGACCUCGGAUCAGGUAGGGAUACCCGCUGAACUUAA